rnacentral:rRNA from 1 species
GAUGAACGCUGGCGGCGUGCCUAAUACAUGCAAGUCGAACGCAUUGUGGUUGAAAUGAUAUGAAGAACUUGUUCAGAUUUGAUUUUCAACAUUGCAAUGAGUGGCGAACGGGUGAGUAACACGUGGGAAACCUACCUCUUAGCAGGGGAUAACAUUUGGAAACAAAUGCUAAUACCGUAUAAUAAUUAAAACCGCAUGGUUUUAGUUUAAAAGAUGGUCUUGCUAUCACUAAGAGAUGGUCCCGCGGUGUAUUAGUUAGUUGGUGAGGUAAUGGCUCACCAAGACAAUGAUACAUAGCCGAGUUGAGAGACUGACCGGCCACAAUGGGACUGAGACACGGCCCAUACUCCUACGGGAGGCAGCAGUAGGGAAUCUUCCACAAUGGACGAAAGUCUGAUGGAGCAACGCCGCGUGUGUGAU